UGUAAUUGAUGGACAAACUCAAGCACUCAAAGGCCACCCAUUUGCUUCCCACCUCGAACCUCUUAGCCAGUGAUACAGAGAGAAGAAGAGGAGGAAGAGGCUUGGUGACGCAAGGUGAGCUGAAGGAGAGCUGCUUGGGUGAGGAUUAGGAAGGCACGGGUGCCAUGGAAACCACUCUGAAGGCCCCCUAAAGCUGCAGCCGUCAGGAGGGGCUGUCUGCGGCCAGUGGUCGGCCACGUGGACCCUCUCCCUAAUGCGAUGCGUGACUUCUAUUUAUUUUACUCUGUUUUACAUCUUAUGCCUGCUCUCGGCUUCUCUUGGCUUCCUCACAGUCCUGGUGCAGGAUGCUGCCUGCAGGUCAGUAGGAUAAAGGUGC
rnacentral:lncRNA from 1 species